rnacentral:tRNA from 1 species
GGCUGAAUGGUCUAGAGGUAUGAUUCCUGCUUUGGGUUCUGAAUCCAGCAUGCAGGAGGCCCCGGGUUCGAUCCCCGGUUCAGCCC